rnacentral:rRNA from 1 species
UACGUAGGGUGCGAGCGUUGUUCGGAAUUACUGGGUGUAAAGGGUCCGCAGGCGGGCAAGCAAGUCGGUGGUGAAAGUUCAUGGCUCAACUGUGAAAUUGCCUUCGAUACUGCUUGUCUUGAGUUCGAGAGAGGAUGAUGGAAUUCAUGGUGUAGCAGUGAAAUGCGUAGAGAUCAUGAAGAACACCAGUUGCGAAGGCGGUCAUCUGGCUCGAUACUGACGCUCAGGGACGAAAGCGUGGGUAGCAAACAGGAUUAGAUACCCUGGUAGU